GUAACAAGGUCUCCGUUGGUGAACCAGCGGAGGGAUCAUUACAGAGUUACUACUCCAAAACCCAUUGUGAACCUUACCUAUGUUCUGUUGCCUCGGCGGCGUGGUCAGCGCCCCCUCUGAAAAGAGGACGAUGCCCUCCCGCCGGCAGCACCAAACUCUUGAAUUUUACAGCGGAUUACAGUUCUGAUUUGAAAAGAAAAAACAAGUUAAAACUUUCAACAACGGAUCUCUUGGUUCUGGCAUCGAUGAAGAACGCAGCGAAAUGCGAUAAGUAAUGUGAAUUGCAGAAUUCAGUGAAUCAUCGAAUCUUUGAACGCACAUUGCGCCCGGCAGUAAUCUGCCGGGCAUGCCUGUCCGAGCGUCAUUUCAACCCUCGAACCUCCGUUUCCUCAGGGAAGCUCAGGGUCGGUGUUGGGGCGCUACGGCGAGUCUUCGCGACCCUCCGUAGGCCCUGAAAUACAGUGGCGGUCCCGCCGCGGUUGCCUUCUGCGUAGUAAGUCUCUUUUGCAAGCUCGCAUUGGGUCCCGGCGGAGGCCUGCCGUCAAACCACCUAUAACUCCAGAUGGUUUGACCUCGGAUCAGGUAGGGUUACCCGCUGAACUUAAGCAUAUCA
rnacentral:misc_RNA from 1 species